rnacentral:misc_RNA from 1 species
GUAGGUGAACCUGCGGAAGGAUCAUUAAAAGAGAUAGGGUCUCACGGCCCGACCUCCAACCCUUUGUUGUUAAAAAAAAACCUGUUGCUUUGGCGGGACCGUCCGUCCCUCGUGGACGGACCGUCGGUCUUCGGCCCGGCGAGCGCCCGCCAGAGUCCAACCAAACUCUUGAUAUAACCAGUCGUCUGAGAAUAAAGAUUUAAUCAAUUAAAACUUUCAACAACGGAUCUCUUGGUUCUG